AGAGUUUGAUCCUGGCUCAGGAUGAACGCUGGCAGUGUGGAUAGGGCAUGCAAGUCAAGGGGGCCUUCGGGCAACCGGCAGACGAGGUCAGUAACACGUACGAACGUACCCCAGAGUCUGGCAUAGCCAACCGAAAGGUUGGGUAAUUCCAGAUGGUCCUUACGAGGUAAAGAUUUAUCGCUCUGGGAGCGGCGUGCGCAAUAUCAGCUUGUUGGUAAGGUAACGGCUUACCAAGGCUACGACGUUUAGGGGGGGUGAGAGCCUGUUCCCCACCGAGUGGACUGAGACACGGCCACUACUCCUACGGGAGGCUGCAGUCGAGAAUAUUUCGCAAUGGACGAAAGUCUGACGGAGCGACACUGCGUGAUGGAUGAAGUGCCUCGGCACGUAAACAUCUUUUAUGAGGGACGAAAUCAUUGACGGUACCUCAUGAAUAAGGGGCUCCUAACUCUGUGCCAGCAGGAGCGGUAAUACAGAGGCCCCAAGCGUUAUCCGGAAUUACUGGGCGUAAAGGAUGUCAAGGCGGUCAUGUUAGUCGUUCGUUAAAUCCGUGGGCUCAACCUACGGCUCGCGAGCGAAACGGCAUGACUAGAGGUUGGAAGAGGUGCGUGGAACUCACGGUGUAGGGGUGAAAUCCGUUGAUAUCGUGGGGAACACCAAAGGCGAAGGCAGCGCACUGGUCCAAAUCUGACGCUCACACAUGAAAGCCAGGGUAGCGAACGGGAUUAGAUACCCCGGUAGUCC
rnacentral:rRNA from 1 species